AAAGGUAGGCAAGCAGCUGGGGUGCUUAGACAUGUAGGGAGGAGGAAGGGCUGAACAGGCACCCUUCAGGGAACUGCUGUUCCUGCAGUUGUGCCUCAUCUGUAUGGUCUACCAUUCUUUGCAUACUUCUCUUUGAACUGCCCAAGAUCCUCACAGUCCGAUAGGUCUUUAGCUAACACCCGCAAGUGUUGCAAACAAAGGCAUUUUACCCAGGAGUGUGCAUUUCACAUUCUCUGAAUGAUGGGUCACAGUCCAUGGACUAGGGGUGGGGUGAGAAUGCAAAGCAAGCCAGAGCACGGGCUAGAAAUUGCUCACUCUGAGGAGGACUCACAGUCUGACUCUUCUACAGCUCGGCGCAGUUUCAGAUGUCCCAAGGAGCGGGAGGAUCUCUUUAACACACACACUCUCAGGCCAGGGGCGUGAUUUUGCCAGCUAAAGGCCGUUUACACUCGGAGUUCUGCGGACUCUUCAGAGGUUGUAAAAAUGCCGGAGCCACGAAAGCCAGCAAAGAGCUGUUGCACUCCUUGCUGCUGCUGCUGCUGCUGCCGUCCCUGCCCGUGCUGCAGCUGCUACUCCUGCUGCUGCUGCUGCUGCUUGUUGCUGAUUGUUGCCGUUGCGGGUUGCUGUUUGCUGUUUGCGGCGGGCUGGAUUGCUGGAUUGCUGAUUGCCGGUCGGCGAUAUCCCGAGGAUGAAGAUCAAACUUGCCCCAAGGAAUUCAACAACCCUAAGAAGUAGUCUAAUGAUUUCAAUAUCCCCUCUUCCCCUCUGACCUUUCUCUUACCUUAUGUUGGGGGAUUGGAAGGGUGGUAGGAAAAUGAACCCAAUAAAGUAGCCAAAAGUAAAGUUA